UACGGGGGGAGCAAACGUUGUUCGGAAUCACUGGGCUUAAAGGGCGCGUAGGCGGGUGCUCAAGUCCGUGGUGAAAUCCUCCGGCUCAACCGGAGAACUGCCUCGGAUACUGGGCGUCUCGAGUGUGGUAGGGGUAUGCGGAACUAUCGGUGGAGCGGUGAAAUGCGUUGAUAUCGAUAGGAACUCCGGUGGCGAAGGCGGCAUACUGGACCACCACUGACGCUGAUGCGCGAAAGCCAGGGGAGCAAACGGG
rnacentral:rRNA from 1 species